rnacentral:snRNA from 10 species
AGCUUUGUGAAGUGGCAGUAUCAUAGCCAGUGAGGUUUAUCCAAGGCACAAUUAUUGCUAACUGAGCAGGCUUGCCUCAUAAGUCCCUCAAUAGUCAGAAAAUCCACUGAUUAUACAAAUGUA